AGCAGCCGCGGUAAUUCCAGCUCCAAUAGCGUAUAUUAAAGUUGUUGCAGUUAAAAAGCUCGUAGUUGAAUUUCGGGAUCAAAGGAUCGGUCAUGCCUUGGUAUGUACUGGUUUUAUUGGUUCUCACCUUCUAAAGAACCAUAAUGUCAUUCAUUUGAUGUUAUGGGGAAUUAGGACUGUUACCUUGAAAAAAUUUAGAGUGUUUAAAGCAGGCUUACGCUUGAAUACAUUAGCAUGGAAUAAUGAAAUAGGACAUCAGAUUCUAUUUUGUUGGUUUCUAGGAUCGAUGUAAUGAUUAAUAGGGAUAGUUGGGGGCAUUAGUAUUCAAUUGUCAGAGGUGAAAUUCUUGGAUUUAUUGAAGACUAACUACUGCGAAAGCAUUUGCCAAGGAUGUUUUCAUUAAUCAAGAACGAAAGUUAGGGGAUCGAAGACGAUCAGAUACCGUCGUAGUCUUAACCAUAAACUAUGCCGACUAGGGAUCGGAUGAUGUUAAUUUUUUAAUGACUCAUUCGGCGCCUUA
rnacentral:misc_RNA from 1 species